AAGACAUGACAGAUAACUAUGAUGAUGCUGUUACUGCUGGACCAAACUCCAACAUUAUGAUGAUGGACACCCCAGAGAACUAUGAUGAUUUCAUAGUGCUGAACAGGAUGUAGGAGGGCUAAAAGAUUAUGAUGACGUGGAGGAGGAGCCUCAGACAGAGAUGAAUCAUGUGACUGAGAGACCACAGCCAGUGUCUUUCCUCAGGAAACUGCAUUCAAACCUCUUCAGACGCAAGAAAUGAUUUUAUCAUCGAUCACAAGUCAAAAUGUUUUAUGGAGCAUAAAUGAGAUAAAGUGUUUUAAACACCCCCUAAUUUAUAUAAACAAAUUACAAAUUAGACAUUGUUAACGCUUUUUGACUUUUUCCAACCUUAGAAACAUUUACUGACACAUCUCAUCUCAUUAAAUUAUUCCAUCAAAAUGAUUAUGAUCUUACUUUGAUCUCUUAAUCCAACUUUUUUAUCUUCAUGAAAACAUUUUGUGUCUGAUGUGAUACAGCUCAUCAGUUAACAGAAUUUAAGAGAAAUUAUUCAUUUUUUACCAAAAGCUUCCUUUUUUAAUUAUAAUUUAAGGAAAUUAUUGUUUUGGAUUGAAGGUCUUAAAUUAAAGGGCUGUUCAUUUUCACUGUAGAUCAUUUUGAGGGUAAAGAACUGAAAGAUGUUCUGAUCAGAAGUGAAUGUUCAGUUCAUCAAAUCAGAAACAGGAAAGUGUUGUUUCACUGUAACUAAUUUGUAUAACAGACUUUUAUUUUCAGUGUUGGCGUUAAAAAUCAAGCAGACACUCAUAACUGUUUAUAGUAUUUGAUUUGAUCAUCCCUUUAAUAUAGUAAAAUAAUAAAAUA